GGUCAAGUGAAGAAGCGCAUACGGUGGAUGCCUUGGCAGUCAGAGGCGAUGAAAGACGUGGUAGCCUGCGAAAAGCUUCGGGGAGUCGGCAAACAGACUUUGAUCCGGAGAUCUCUGAAUGGGGGAACCCACCUAGGAUAACCUAGGUAUCUUGUACUGAAUCCAUAGGUGCAAGAGGCGAACCAGGGGAACUGAAACAUCUAAGUACCCUGAGGAAAAGAAAUCAACCGAGAUUCCCUUAGUAGUGGCGAGCGAACGGGGAUUAGCCCUUAAGCUUCAUUGAUUUUAGCGGAACGCUCUGGAAAGUGCGGCCAUAGUGGGUGAUAGCCCCGUACGCGAAAGGAUCUUUGAAGUGAAAUCGAGUAGGACGGAGCACGAGAAACUUUGUCUGAACAUGGGGGGACCAUCCUCCAAGGCUAAAUACUACUGACUGACCGAUAGUGAACCAGUACCGUGAGGGAAAGGCGAAAAGAACCCCGGAGAGGGGAGUGAAAUAGAACCUGAAACCGUAUGCGUACAAGCAGUGGGAGCCUACUUGUUAGGUGACUGCGUACCUUUUGUAUAAUGGGUCAGCGACUUAUAUUCAGUGGCAAGCUUAACCGUAUAGGGUAGGCGUAGCGAAAGCGAGUCU
rnacentral:rRNA from 1 species